GCGCCAUUUCUUCCCUCCUUCUUCACUUUUUCCCCCAAACUCUUCAUCUUACCGCCGGAGAACCGCCUUUUUUCACCAAAUCGAAAAUUCGGAUCACCACCAUCACCUCUCCGGUCACCACCAUCACUUCUCCGGUCACCACCUCGUCUCCGCGGUCUAUAUCUACUUGAAAGCUUGAAAUUACGGGAUUAUGUUUUCGGUAUUGCUGAUAUUCGCUUAUUUGAUGGCCGAUGUGGCCCCCUGGGGACAUGGGGGUGACGGCG